rnacentral:tRNA from 11 species
UCGAGAGACAAUUCGGGUUCGAACCACGGACCUUCCUGUCAGAAAAUUCGCGCUCUAACCACUGAGUCAUCUCUCG